UACAGAGGCCUCGAGCGUUAGGCGGAAUCACUGGGCUUAAAGCGUGUGUAGGUGGAUGCCUAAGUGCUUUGUGAAAUCCCACGGCUUAACCGUGGAAUUGCUUGGCAUACUGGGUGUCUUGAGCCACUCAGGGGCGAGCGGAACUAACGGUGGAGCGGUGAAAUGCGUAGAUAUCGUUAGGAACGCCUACGGUGAAAACAGCUCGCUGGGGGUGUGCUGACACUGAGACACGAAAGCCAGGGGAGCGAACGGG
rnacentral:misc_RNA from 1 species